rnacentral:rRNA from 1 species
GAUGAACGCUAGCGAUAGGCUUAACACAUGCAAGUCGAGGGGCAGCACAAGGUAGCUUGCUAUCUGGGUGGCGACCGGCGCACGGGUGCGUAACGCGUAUGCAACUUGCCCUAUACAGGAGGAUAACCCGUCGAAAGACGGACUAAUACUGCGUAUGCUCACAACUUGGCAUCAAGUGGUGAGGAAAGAAAUUCGGUAUAGGAUAGGCAUGCGUCCCAUUAGCUUGUUGGUGAGGUAACGGCUCACCAAGGCAGCGAUGGGUAGGGGAACUGAGAGGUUUAUCCCCCACACUGGUACUGAGACACGGACCAGACUCCUACGGGAGGCAGCAGUGAGGAAUAUUGGUCAAUGGGCGCGAGCCUGAACCAGCCAAGUCGCGUGAAGGAGGACUGUCUUAUGGAUGGUAAACUUCUUUUAGACGGGAAUAACAAGAGUCACGGGUGACUCCCUGCAUGUACCGUAUGAAUAAGCAUCGGCUAACUCCGUG